CCUACGGGUGGCUGCAGUGGGGAAUAUUGCACAAUGGGCGCAAGCCUGAUGCAGCCAUGCCGCGUGUGUGAAGAAGGCCUUCGGGUUGUAAAGCACUCUCAGCGGGGAGGAAGGCGGUGAGGUUAAUAACCUCAUCGAUUGACGUUACCCGCAGAAGAAGCACCGGCUAACUCCGUGCCAGCAGCCGCGGUAAUACGGAGGGUGCAAGCGUUAAUCGGAAUUACUGGGCGUAAAGCGCACGCAGGCGGUCUGUCAAGUCGGAUGUGAAAUCCCCGGGCUCAACCUGGGAACUGCAUUCGAAACUGGCAGGCUAGAGUCUUGUAGAGGGGGGUAGAAUUCCAGGUGUAGCGGUGAAAUGCGUAGAGGUCUGGAGGAAUACCGGUGGCGAAGGCGGCCCCCUGGACAAAGACUGACGCUCAGGUGCGAAAGCGUGGGGAGCAAACAGGAUUAGAUACCCGAGUAGUC
rnacentral:rRNA from 1 species